UUCGCCCUUGGAUCCAGACUUUGAUUAUGGCUCAGGCCGUUCGCUGGCGGCGUGCCUAACACAUGCGAGUCGAGCGGAACUGUUUUGAAAGAUUUCUUCGGAAUGAAUUUGAUUUAGUUUAGUGGCGGACGGGUGAGUAACGCGUGAGUAACCUGCCUUCAAGAGGGGGAUAACAUUCUGAAAAGAAUGCUAAUACCGCAUGACAUAUCGGAACCACAUGGUUCUGAUAUCAAAGAUUUUAUCACUUGAAGAUGGACUCGCGUCCGAUUAGUUAGUUGGUGAGGUAACGGCUCACCAAGACCGCGAUCGGUAGCCGGACUGAGAGGUUGAACGGCCACAUUGGGACUGAGACACGGCCCAGACUCCUACGGGAGGCAGCAGUGGGGGAUAUUGCGCAAUGGGGGCAACCCUGACGCAGCAACGCCGCGUGAAGGAUGAAGGUUUUCGGAUUGUAAACUUCUUUUAUUAAGGACGAAACUUGACGGUACUUAAUGAAUAA
rnacentral:rRNA from 1 species